rnacentral:rRNA from 1 species
AUUGAACGCUGGCGGCAGGCCUAACACAUGCAAGUCGAACGGUAACAGGAAGCAGCUUGCUGCUUUGCUGACGAGUGGCGGACGGGUGAGUAAUGUCUGGGAAACUGCCCGAUGGAGGGGGAUAACUACUGGAAACGGUAGCUAAUACCGCAUAACGUCGCAAGACCAAAGAGGGGGACCUUAGGGCCUCUUGCCAUCGGAUGUGCCCAGUUGGGAUUAGCUAGUAGGUGGGGUAACGGCUCACCUAGGCGACGAUCCCUAGCUGGUCUGAGAGGAUGACCAGCCACACUGGAACUGAGACACGGUCCAGACUCCUACGGGAGGCAGCAGUGGGGAAUAUUGCACAAUGGGCGCAAGCCUGAUGCAGCCAUGCCGCGUGUAUGAAGAAGGCCUUCGGGUUGUAAAGUACUUUCAGCGGGGAGGAAGGGAGUAAAGUUAAUACCUUUGCUCAUUGACGUUACCCGCAGAAGAAGCACCGGCUAACUCCGUG